rnacentral:rRNA from 1 species
GAUGAACGCUAGCUACAGGCUUAACACAUGCAAGUCGCGGGGCAGCAUGGGGGUUGCUUGCAAUCCCCGAUGGCGACCGGCGCACGGGUGAGUAACGCGUAUCCAACCUGCCCUUCACCACGGGAUAACCCGGCGAAAGUCGGACUAAUACCGUGUGUUGUCCAUUGACGGCAUCCGAUUUGGACGAAAGGCUUGGCGGUGAGGGAUGGGGAUGCGUCCGAUUAGCCAGACGGCGGGGUAACGGCCCACCGGGGCUACGAUUGGUAGGGGUUCUGAGAGGAAGGUCCCCCACACUGGAACUGAGACACGGUCCAGACUCCUACGGGAGGCAGCAGUGAGGAAUAUUGGUCAAUGGGCGUAAGCCUGAACCAGCCAAGUAGCGUGCAGGAUGACGGCCCUAUGGGUUGUAAACUGCUUUUAUGCGGGGAUAAAGUGGCCCACGUGUGGGCUUUUGCAGGUACCGCAUGAAUAAGGACCGGCUAAGUCCGUG